AUGCUCGCUUGGGCAGCACAUAUACCAAAAUUGGAACGGCACAGAGAAGAUUAGCACGGCCCCUUCGCAAAUUCAUGAAGCAUUCCACAGUUUU
ensembl:snRNA U6 U6 spliceosomal RNA